UGGGGAAUAUUGCGCAAUGGGCGAAAGCCUGACGCAGCAACGCCGCGUGAGUGAUGAAGGCCUUCGGGUCGUAAAGCUCUGUCGGAGGGAACGAAUGCUCCUGAAGUUAACAGCCUCAGGAGGUGACGGUACCCUCAAAGGAAGCACCGGCUAACUCUGUGCCAGCAGCCGCGGUAAUACAGAGGGUGCAAGCGUUGUUCGGAAUCAUUGGGCGUAAAGGGCGCGUAGGCGGCAUGACAAGUCACUUGUGAAAUCUCUGGGCUUAACCCAGAACGGCCAAGUGAUACUGUCGCGCUAGAGUGCAGAAGGGGCAAUCGGAAUUCUUGGUGUAGCGGUGAAAUGCGUAGAUAUCAAGAGGAACACCUGAGGUGAAGACGGGUUGCUGGGCUGACACUGACGCUGAGGCGCGAAAGCCAGGGGAGCAAACGGGAUUAGAUACCCAAGUAGUCCCUGAGCGGGCUGGCAAGGCGCAU
rnacentral:rRNA from 1 species